rnacentral:rRNA from 1 species
UACGGGGGGGGCAAGCGUUGUUCGGAAUUACUGGGCGUAAAGGGCUCGUAGGCGGCCAACUAAGUCAGACGUGAAAUCCCUCGGCUUAACCGGGGAACUGCGUCUGAUACUGGAUGGCUUGAGUUUGGGAGAGGGAUGCGGAAUUCCAGGUGUAGCGGUGAAAUGCGUAGAUAUCUGGAGGAACACCGGUGGCGAAGGCGGCAUCCUGGACCGGUAUUGACGCUGAGGCGCGAAAGCCAGGGAGCAAAGCGGG